UCCAGACUCCUACGGGAGGCAGCAGUGAGGAAUAUUGGUCAAUGGGCGGGAGCCUGAACCAGCCAAGUCGCGUGAGGGAAGACGGUCCUACGGAUUGUAAACCUCUUUUGCCGGGGAGCAACGGGGUCCUUGCGAGGGCCCGAUGAGAGUACCCGAAGAAAAAGCAUCGGCUAACUCCGUGCCAGCAGCCGCGGUAAUACGGAGGAUGCGAGCGUUAUCCGGAUUUAUUGGGUUUAAAGGGUGCGCAGGCGGUCUGUUAAGUCAGCGGUCAAAGCCCGGGGCUCAACCCCGGCCUGCCGUCGGAACUGGGUGCCUUGAGUGGGCGAGAAGUAUGCGGAAUGCGUGGUGUAGCGGUGAAAUGCAUAGAUAUCACGCAGAACCCCGAUUGCGAAGGCAGCAUACCGGCGCCCUACUGACGCUGAGGCACGAAAGUGCGGGUAUCGAACAGGAUUAGAUACCCCCGUAAA
rnacentral:rRNA from 1 species